CACGUAGGGGGCGAGCGUUGUCCGGAUUUAUUGGGCGUAAAGAGCUCGUAGGCGGCUCGGUAAGUCGGGUGUGAAACCUCCAGGCUCAACCUGGAGACGCCACCCGAUACUGCCGUGGCUAGAGUCCGGUAGAGGAGCGUAGAAUUCCUGGUGUAGCGGUGAAAUGCGCAGAUAUCAGGAGGAACACCAGCGGCGAAGGCGGCGCUCUGGGCCGGAACUGACGCUGAGGAGCGAAAGCGUGGGUAGCAAACAGG
rnacentral:rRNA from 1 species